UCUCUUAGCCCACCGCCUCCUGGACCCCAACCCUGGACCAGAGGAGGGCAGGCAGAUAUUUCCUCCUCCUGCUGGGUCAAACCUGUCCCCUCCCCACAGCCCUGGGCCCCUGACGAGACAACCCUGCCUUUCCCUUCCCCUGCUCACUGCGCUUCAGGUUCCCAUGGCAACCCCAUCCUCAGCUCCAGGCAGGAGAGCGGAGCAGAAGCAGACAGAGAGAGGCUGUGGGGGUGGGGGGUGGGGAAGGCAUGCAAACACUGGGCCUCAGUUUCCUCAUCUCUAAAAUGGGCGGUUAGGAAACAAUCCCUGAGGUCCCUGAAGGCCCCGACCUCUCUGAGUGGUACUGGCCCUUUGAGUCUGCCUUCUCCAUUCCAAACACACAUCACACACACCCCUCUCACUCCCGCUCCCAGUCAGCGCUGCACCUGCUCCCUGGGACGUCUGAUCCCACUGUUCCCAAUCAGAGGCAGGAAAAAGGGAAGUAGAAAACUCCAGGCCCUAGUCCCCGAUUUACCCACUAAUGCCCCCUCCCUAAGUGUAGCUGGGAUUCCGGACAGUUUGUUAGAACCCAGAGACAUUCUGAGCCAGCAACCCCAGGAGCACAGGCCCACACUCGGACACCGGAGGGAAGGAGCAGGGCGACAGUCCCUUGUUCUCCAGAGUCAGCCAUCUCCAUCCACCCUCUUCAGCCCCUCACCUUACAGCUCAAGGAAACUGACAGAAGGAUCUGGAAAUCUGCAGUCAGUGAAGAGGUGGGGAAGGUGCUUCUGAGUGUCCUCCCUUCCUUCCCCGGCCCAUGUCCACUCCCACACUCAACACCCCCCAAAGCUGGUUCCCCUCUCUGCCUGGCGUGUGCGGCCUCCGUGAACUCCUGGCUCCCAAGGAGGAGCACCCCACCCACCCAUGACCUCCACAUUCCGGGACUAUGUGCAUGGAGACAAAGGGGCAGGUUUGUGGGUGUGGACACAUCAGCCCCCCUUACACAAAACAUAGUUUACAAAACAAAUAACCGAGGGCAUAAAUAAUCCUUUAAUCAAGGGAGCCAGCAGGCUCACCCCACCUACCUAAAAGUUUCGCAAAAGCAUUUGAGGGUGGUUCUUGUACCUACAGCCACUGUGCAAAAGCAGAAAGGCACACCUCUCCCUUGCCACAGCAGUGGCUGUGCCUGGGAGCUGUGAACACACACGCCGCCCAUUCCAUCUGACUCCUUGGCAUUUCUCCCCGGCCCCACACCCAAGCAUGUGUGUCUGUAUACGCAUGAGGCACGUGUUUAUUAAGGCCCCAUCUGUAGGGGCCCCUGACCGCCCAGCAGGCUGGCUGUAAGCUCUCGCCUGAGUUCUCUUUCCUGUCUAACCCUGAAACAAGUCUGGUGCAGGGAGAGAAACAGAAGAGGCCUUUUUGCUGCUCACAGUCACUUUAUGGAACAUUUUAAAAUCUCAGUCUUGAGAAGCCACCAGGGAAUGACAGCCAGCCUUCUUCUCUCUUGACCACCUCCCCCUGCAAGAUUCUGGCUCAGGGACUGGCCAAAAAUAGGCACACCAUAGAAGCCUCCCUGCACGCCAAAGUCACACCCUCACCCACUGAGGGGGCACGGUCCCACUCCCUGGCCAAGUGCCAGGAGAGAUCAGCAGCCCCUCUGGGGAAGACCCAGAGGAGCUGAGAAGGAAGGAAGCCAGGCCCGAGGUCUACAAGGCAAAGCUGGGAGCGGGGUGAGAGCACAGCUACCCCCUGGGAAACCCCAAGAUUUAGAAACCUGAAUGCCACUGAAGGAUGGGGCCAGAGGCAGAAAGGAAACAGGAGGGAAUGAGAGGGGAUGUCAGCACAGGGCCUGGCCCGUGGCAGGGGCUCGCCCUCUUUGGUCUAGGGGCCAGCAUCCCUGAGACAUCCCUAAGACACCUGGCAUCCAUAACAGAGGAGAAACUGAAGGUCAGACAGGUGCAGAGGGUACUUCCUGCAGGCCAGGCCUACUACAUUUGGCUUCUCCUGGACUCACCAGAUCAGGUGUGUGGGCCAGACCCACUGCUCAGCAUAUGCCCUCCCAGCUGAAGUGAGAAAGGACUGGGGGAAUGAGGGGCCAACCUGCUUCUCAGGCAGGGUGGGGAGGGGGGUGGCAAGAACCUCGGGGAAAUAGCACCCAGGAAGAGAUUCAACUUCUGCCCCUCCCUGGAGACCCCAACACCUGCAGGAGCCCUCACCCCACUUACUGCGACCUCUCUGGGAGAGGGUAGAACAGCUAAGCUGGGACUCUGGCACUAGGCUGAGAAGAUACGGAGAGAACAAGGACAAGCCUCUGAUUUCUCUCACCAACUCCCAUCGCUCACUGAAUUCUAGGCUACUAGAGUCUGAGCCAGAGACAUGAGAAAGCAUCAAUCCCUGCCACCCACGCC
ensembl:lincRNA